UGCCUGAGGAAAAAGCAACGUGACUCUUCAGCCCGAGGGAGGAAGAACGGGUCCCCUCCCCGCAGCCACACGGAAAACGUAAACUCUAGUGAUGUUUCAGCAGCUACGUUGGAGUUUUCAGCUCAAGCAGGCAAAAUGUGUGGUAGACCCUUGGAGGCCAAAACAAACAACAAAAAAGUAGCUUUUAACAUUUCUUGCGACUUUCAUUCACCAUAAAAAGCUUUUAAAAAUUGUAGAGUCGUUUUCUUCCAGGCUGUGAUCUGCGAGUAGGGAAGGUGAAGCUGAGCUGGGCGAGGAAUGACUCGCAGGCCUGCAAAGUCGUAGUGUAAAGUCGGUGUCGGGCCCGAGUUGUGGGGAGUCCGGGGAGAGCCCAGGAGGAUCCCACCUGGCACAGCACGAGUCUCGGGGCCUUGCUCGAAGCCUGGCGGAGGGAGGCUGACGAGGAGGCAGGUGGCUUCCUGAUGUGCGGACAUCUAAUCUCGACAAAUAUUAGUUGUAUGAUGCUAGUGUUUGGGUAAGGAAGGUUCAGCGGAGCUUUGCCUUUCUGCUUUUGCUAACUGCAGUAGCGUUAAAUGACGUGGGCCAGUUAUGGAUGGUAGCUUGAUACCAGAGACAGUGCAGGUGCCUCUCUUAAGUUCUGCUGGCGUAAUUCCCCUAUAAAGGGCAGGGGGAACUUCCAUUUAUUUGUUUGGGUCAGCUCUUUAAAGGCAGUUUAUAACACAUGGGACAAAAGACCUCAGCAGGCCAGAUUUUGGAAAAAAUAAAAAGAAUCCAAACUCUUUCUGUGAACCCUCGUGGUUAGGAUGGCUGAAUUCAGUGUAUCAAGAACCUCUUGCCUUUGGAAAAACAAGUGGUAGUAAAACAGCUUUUUGUUUUGUUUUGUUUUGUCAGAUCUAAUGGUCAUCUCCCUGUGGCUGGGUAGUUCUUUGUUACCCCAGGCAGAAUAAGACUAAUUAUGGUCCUCAGCAGAAGCAGUCUUUAAGAUCUAAAUUGUCCAUCUUUUAACAAGAGAAGGCAUAGAAUAGCUUUGAUGGAAGAGAAUUUCCUUGGACAGCAGAGUCAUUACCGACCGUGUAUACAGUCUCUUUCAAAGCAGUGUGAGGUGAGGGAGAUAAGCUGGUCAAAAAAGAAAGGGAAAAAAGAAAACAGAGGAACGGCAUACACACUAAGGAACUAGAGAAUGGAGAAGUGAGAUGGAGCUCAAAACUAGCAUGUCAUAAAGAGGGAACAAAGGAAAAAAA